AUGCAUUUAACGCACAAUUAUUUGUAUAAAUCGGUAAUAUAUAUUGCCGAUUUGUUAUUAAUUCGCGAACGUGAUUUUGAAGCGUGGAAGAAAUAAAACGCCGACGAUAUAUCCAGUGUGACCGUUAUACGAAUAUAUUGGUAACACUUUAUUAGUUAUGGGAAGUAUUCCAAAUGUGUGUCUGAAUGAGCGCAAUUUUUUGAAUAGCAUCUCUGUGAUGGAAAGGAUAACAAUGACUUGGCGCGAAAUUUUGAAAUAAAGCAAAAUUAUAAAAUGUUGAAUAUUGUUUCAUUUUACUGUAAAUGUGUAUUUUAUUAUUAAAUAUUUAGUAACGUUUUUAUAUAUUUUGAAAAAAAAAUUAAAUUUUAUGACUAAAUUGUAUUAUAUUCCAAAACUAGAGAUUGGUACAAAUGACUAAUUGUUAUAUAUAAAA